CAUUGAAACACCCGUUCCCAUACGAUCACCGAAGUUAAGCAAACGUCUAACCUGGUCAGUACCAAAGUGGGUAACUAUUUGGGAAUACUUGGACG